AAAAAGUUAGUUUAAUAAAAACAUUAAUUUGUCAAAUUAAAAAUAUAAAAUUUAUACUUUUUU
rnacentral:tRNA from 1 species